GAAUUUAAUAUAAUUUUUAAAUUUAUUUAAGGAAAUAAAUUUUAUUUUAAUGAUUAUAUUUUAUUGGGAGGAUAAUUAAAUAAAAUGAACUUUAAUUUAAAGAUAAUUUUAACAUUAAUUAAUAAAAUUUUUAUAAAGGAUUGAUUAUUAAAUUAAGAAAAUUUUUUUUUUAUAAUAAUUAUAAAAAUUAAUUACCUUAGGGAUAACAGCGUAAUAUUUUUAGAAAGAUCUUAUUAAUAAAAAUAAUUGC
rnacentral:rRNA from 1 species